GCAAACUUGGUCAUUUAGAGGAAGUAAAAGUCGUAACAAGGUUUCCGUAGGUGAACCUGCGGAAGGAUCAUUACAGUGCUCGUCGGGACGUCUUCAUGUCCCGCACCUGCCCACCCGUGUCUACCUUCUCCUCUGUUGCUUUGGCGGGCCCGGCGGCCAGACAGUACCCAUCGUGUACUGCCUGCUCGCGACCGGUGGAUUGCCACGUCCUCACGUGGAACCUCUGGAUAGCGCCCGUCAGAGACUCAUCUGAACCCUUUUUGUGAAUGUAGUGCAGUCUGAGCUGAUUAGCAGAAAUGCAAGUCAAAAAACUUUCAACAACGGAUCUCUUGGUUCUGGCAUCGAUGAAGAACGCAGC
rnacentral:misc_RNA from 1 species